rnacentral:rRNA from 1 species
UACGUAGGGUGCAAGCGUUGUCCGGAAUUAUUGGGCGUAAAGAGCGUGUAGGCGGCCAGGUAGGUCUGGUGUGAAAACUCGAGGCUUAACCUCGAGAUGUCAUCGGAAACCAUCUGGCUAGAGUCCGGAAGAGGAGAGUGGAAUUCCUGGUGUAGCGGUGAAAUGCGCAGAUAUCAGGAAGAACACCCGUGGCGAAGGCGGCUCUCUGGGACGGUACUGACGCUGAGACGCGAAAGCGUGGGGAGCGAACAGG